rnacentral:rRNA from 1 species
GCCCCUACGGGGCGCAGCAGUGGGGGAUAUUGCACAAUGGGGGGAACCCUGAUGUAGCGACGCCGCGUGAACGAAGAAAUAUUUCGGUAUGUAAAGUUCUAUCAGCAGGGAAGAAAAUGACAGUACCUGACUAAGAAGCCCCGGCUAACUACGUGCCAGCAGCCGCGGUAAUACGUAGGGGGCAAGCGUUAUCCGGAUUUACUGGGUGUAAAGGGUGCGUAGGUGGCAGGGCAAGUCAGAUGUGAAAGCCCGGGGCUCAACCCCGGUACUGCAUUUGAAACUGUCCAGCUGGAGUGCAGGAGAGG